GCAAAGCAGUUGGUCUGGGGCGUCACGGAGGUUGUGCAGGCUGAGCUUAAAGGGAGAAGCAUCCCCCAAAUGAGAACGAUGACUGACUUGAGAAGGAAUGGUCGGAGUUUCGCAUAAGCCAUUCAUGUGCAGAAGUGCAGCAGGGGAUGCAGCCUGAGGAAGGGCGGUGAUGACCCCGAGGUGCUCCGGUGCGGCUGUGUGUUUCUGCGCCCUCGCUGCUCCUGUUGCCUCUUGAUGAGCAGCCCCGUGCCAUCACGACGUGCCAUCACGACGUGCCAUCGCACCCACCUGCACGAUCAAGCUGUGAUGGGCUGGGGGCAAGCGUGGUGCUGCCGUUGGACUGACCCAGCCUCACCUGACCACGUCGCUGCCCACUUGCCGAGCACCGCUGCCCUUUGCAGCCCCCACUGACCCCUUCGGGGGUCUGAGGACACCAGUUCCGUGGGACGAGCGGGCGUGCGGUGGGCGCCGAGCCCCGAGCCUGCUGGCAGUGUGGUGCGGGGAUGUGCGGGAGCGGGGGGCACGCAUAGCGCGCGGGGCCUGUAGUGAGGGCACACAAUAAAGCACUGCUGAAC